rnacentral:lncRNA from 1 species
AGCGUGUGAGGAUCAGGUGUCCGAGAUCAGCAGCCAGGCGGCGUCCAACAACAACGAGGCGUCCAACACCUCCUCCGGCCCCAAGCUCGCCCUCGACCUGUCGCUCACCGUCACCGCGGCCGCCGCCGCCGCCACCACGACCGCCGAGUCGAGCACCACCGACAGCAACAACGGCGGCGGGCAGGCCGCGCGCGAGCCGACGCGGGUGUUCACCUGCAACUACUGCCAGAGGAAGUUCUUCAGCUCGCAGGCGCUGGGCGGGCACCAGAACGCGCACCGGCGGGAGCGCACGCUGGCCCGGCGCGCGGUGCACCGGCUGGAGGCCUACCCCUACGGCUACGCCGACGUGGCCUCCCUCCCGCUCUACGGCUCCCCCGGGCUGUACCCCAUCGGCAUCCAGGCGCACGCGUCGGCGCUCCAGGGCGCGGCGGCGCAGGCGGAGCGGCAGCAGCACCAGCAGCAGGACGCCGCGGUCCUGGCAGCGCCGGCGCGCGCGCGGGCGCUGCUGGGCCCGAUGCCGUUCCUCGUGGGCGGCGACGAGGAGGUCAGCUUCGGGUGGCCCGGCAGCUUCAGGCCACCGCCACCGGGCGCCGGCGUGCUCCCCCUCCUCCACUCAGGCCCCAACUUCGGCAGCAGCAGCGGCAGCGGCAGCGUCGUGGUGCAAGCCGACGAGGAGCCCGACCUGACGCUUAGACUCUAGCCGCCAUCCGUACGCCGUCCAUCGCUGCGCUUAUACUACGUACUAGGUUGGUGCAACUCGUCAGGCUCCCGACGCCGAUCAACAGAUCAUGGUGGUAGACGACCCGUAUUUGUUUCAUGCGUGCGUGGGUACGUACGUACGUACGCUCGUGGAAGUAUUUCUGUACAGUUUUGGUGCUCUUCUGUGGUAUUGGUAGUAGCGUGUACCCUACAACUUCCCGCGGUAUAUUAAAGAUUCAUGUGAUCAAUCAAUCAUGUUGCUGUGUCCAUGAACUCCA